UACGUAGGGUGCAAGCGUUGUCCGGAAUUAUUGGGCGUAAAGAGCUCGUAGGCGGCUUGUCACGUCGGCUGUGAAAACCUGGGGCUCAACCCCGGGCCUGCAGCCGAUACGGGCAAGCUAGAAUUCGGUAGGGGAGACUGGAAUUCCUGGUGUAGCGGUGAAAUGCGCAGAUAUCAGGAGGAACACCGGUGGCGAAGGCGGGCCUCUGGGCCGAUAUUGACGCUGAGGAGCGAAAGCGUGGGGAGCGAACAGG
rnacentral:rRNA from 1 species